GUUCUCGCGCGGGCGCGGCGGUAAGCCGCGCGCGCCGUCGUCACCCCCUCCCUGCUGCGCGCCUCCAAUCUCCCCACCCCCGACACCCCCUUACCCCCGGCUCGGGUGCGCGCUUCGGGCUCGGGUAAGCGGCGCAAGCCGGGAGGCUGCUCACGUUCGGGCGCGGGGGCGGCUUCGGGGCCUGAGCUGGCGCUGCUGCCGCUACCGCCCAGAGCAGCGGACUGAAGAGGAGGAGGAAGAAGAGGAGGAGGAGGAGGACAACGCUCCACUCGCGCCGCCGCCGGAGAUCCCCCCGGGAAGAUGAUUGAGGAAAGUGGGAAUAAGAGGAAGACCAUGGCAGAGAAGAGGCAGCUGUUUAUGGAAAUGCGUGCUCAGAAUUUUGAUGUCAUCAGGCUAUCAACGUACCGGACAGCUUGCAAACUAAGAUUUGUACAAAAAAGAUGUAAUUUGCACCUUGUUGAUAUCUGGAACAUGAUUGAAGCCUUCCGAGACAAUGGCCUUAACACACUGGACCAUAACACUGAGAUCAGUGUAUCCCGUUUGGAAACUAUCAUUUCAUCUAUCUACUACCAGCUGAACAAACGCCUUCCUUCUACUCACCAGAUCAGUGUGGAACAGUCAAUCAGCCUUCUUCUCAACUUCAUGAUUGCAGCUUAUGACAGUGAGGGCCGAGGAAAGUUGACGGUAUUUUCAGUUAAAGCUAUGUUAGCAACCAUGUGUGGUGGAAAAAUGCUGGACAAAUUAAGAUAUAUUUUCUCUCAGAUGUCAGAUUCCAAUGGCUUAAUGAUAUUUAAUAAGUUUGACCAGUUUCUGAAGGAAGUUUUGAAGCUCCCUACCGCUGUUUUUGAAGGCCCUUCUUUUGGGUAUACAGAGCAUUCAGUACGAACAUGUUUUCCACAACAGAAAAAGAUAAUGCUAAAUAUGUUUUUAGACACAUUGAUGGCUGACCCUCCUCCCCAGUGCCUUGUCUGGCUACCUCUCAUGCAUAGACUUGCCCAUGUUGAAAAUGUCUUCCAUCCUGUGGAGUGUUCAUAUUGCCGGUGUGAGAGUAUGAUGGGUUUUCGCUACCGAUGCCAGCAGUGCCACAACUACCAGCUCUGCCAAAACUGCUUUUGGCGAGGCCAUGCUAAUGGCCCUCAUAGCAACCAACACCAGAUGAAGGAACAUUCCUCUUGGAAAUCACCUGCAAAGAAGCUGAGCCAUGCAAUUAGUAAAUCUCUGGGUUGUGUGCCCACCAGGGAGCCCCCACAUCCUGUUUUUCCUGAGCAACCAGAGAAGCCACUUGACCUUGCACAUAUAGUCCCUCCUCGCCCCCUGACCAACAUGAAUGAUACGAUGGUUAGUCAUAUGUCCUCUGGAGUUCCCACUCCCACCAAAAGGUUACAGUAUAGCCAGGAAAUACCCAGUCACUUGGCUGAUGAGCAUGCACUGAUAGCUUCCUAUGUGUCCCGUCUACAGCACUGUGCACGUGUCCUGGAUAGCCCCAGCCGACUGGAUGAAGAACACAGGCUUAUUGCCCGAUAUGCUGCCCGGCUUGCUGCAGAGGCAGGAAAUGUAACCCGUCCCCCAACUGACCUCAGUUUUAACUUUGAUGCGAAUAAACAGCAAAGGCAGCUCAUUGCAGAACUGGAAAACAAAAACAGAGAAAUCCUUCAAGAGAUUCAGCGCCUCCGCUUGGAGCAUGAGCAAGCUUCUCAACCAACCCCUGAAAAGGCCCAGCAGAACCCUACACUCCUAGCCGAGCUCCGGCUUCUUAGGCAGAGGAAGGAUGAAUUGGAACAGAGAAUGUCUGCACUUCAGGAAAGCAGGAGAGAGCUGAUGGUACAGCUAGAAGGGCUCAUGAAGUUGCUGAAGGCCCAGGCUACAGGAUCCCCACACAUAUCUCCAACUCAUGGAAGUGGCCGCCCAAUGCCCAUGCCAGUCCGCUCGACAUCUGCUGGCUCUACUCCUACUCAUGGGCAGCAGGACUCACUGAGUGGAGUUGGGGGAGACAUACAGGAAGCCUUCGCACAAGGUACAAGGAGAAACCUCCGCAAUGAUCUGCUUGUGGCUGCUGAUUCCAUCACCAACACCAUGUCAUCUCUGGUGAAGGAACUCCAUUCAGCGGAGAAAGGUGGAGUGGAAGAGGAGGAGAAGAUACAGAAUGGGAAAGACAGAGGUAAAGGCAGCUGGGCAGGUUCUCUGGCCUAGAAGAAUGGCCAAGCCAUACAUCUCUCCCUUCUCUGCCUCUGUACUUCUCUUCCUAUCGCCACUUUCCCAAGCCUAUGAUAACCCUAUAUCCACAAGCAUUUAAAUGCUGAGCCUCCUGUGUGACCAUCUAUGAUGCACUAGAUCUUGUUGGGGUGUGAAGGUGCCAGAGGGAAGGCAAGAAUAUCAAAGAAAUAUCAGACAUGGCCUCUCCCUUCGGGCAGUUUAUAAUCUACUCAGAAACAGUACCAGACUACACACACGAAACAAUUAGAGAUCUUUUCAGGGCUCAAUUGUCAUUUUGAUUAUAAGUGCAAACAGAAGUCCAUGUGUACUGGAGUUAUCAAAAGUUAUCAAAAAAAAAAAAUAGAGAAGCUGGUACUCUGACUAGACCUUGAGGGAUGGGUAGAAUUUAGAUGAGUGGAGGAGGAGGAGGGAGGGAAAUCCACAUGGCGACUCAGGAUAUUAGAGUAGUAAAUGUGUUUAAUUGGUAGAAUGGAGCCAGAUUGUGGAAGACCUUGAAAGCCUGGAAGAAAGGUUUGGACUUGAGGCAAAAAGCAAUAAACUAUUACAGUAGAAAAAUAACAGUGUAAGUAAGUACAAUUGUGUCUAUCUGCUCCAUCAUACCUUCUGUCUUUAGAUAUGUGUCCAUCUGCUCCUGUAGUUGGAUAAUUAAUAGAUUAUACUGAUGUCAGUAAUGGCACUACUCAGAUCCUGGUUUUUUUCAAUCUUCUUCUCAAAAUAUCUCAGUGGCCCAUAACCCUUGCACAUAUAUACCUUAAUUCCUCCACACGCUUCCUAAGUAGAUAAACCAGUGGCUAAUAUUCUGUCAGAAGACACAGGGAGUGGUAAGAUGAGGCAUUUUUGACCCUUAGGAGGGCUUAAAUUCCUGAUUAGAUUAGAACCAUAGCUACUGCAAAAUUGACCUGCUCUUCUUACCAAUAUCCAAUAAAUAAGUAGCAAGUUUGGAUAUAGUCAGCUCUUGAUUAUACCCCAAAAUAAGAAGAAACUCUAGUUAUAGAUUAUCCAAAAGUGAAAAGUUCUGUUUAGCUUUGGAAUGUACCUAUUUGUUGCAGUUGAGGUGGUAUUGAAAAAGAAGAGGUAGCUCCAUUGGCAGUUCAGUCAUAGAUGUCUAGCAUGAUUUCAGGGUUGGAUUCUGAGAGAGAGAGAGUAAAUUCAUUACAGAAAACACUUUCCUGGGGACUAGUACAUUCAUGAUUCAAUAGACAUGGCUCCCAGGAUCACAGAAUUAGAACUAAAAAGGAGUUACUCCGCCCUGAGAAAGUGUAACUGGACAAAAAAUGAGAAAUUCUUGGUUUUUGCCCCUUUUUUCUCUUACUUUUCAUGCUGAUCACUAUCCUUGGGCAUGUCACAACUAGAUUACAAUUUACUUAUUACAUUAGUUACCUAUUGGUUUCCAUGUUGAAAUUUGAGAAAUUAGCCUACUCUCAUCAGUAAGCAAACCAUUUCUUAAGUUAGUUUCUUCGGCAGCUUCCAAUAACCUAUAGUUUCUGUUGACUCUUACUUGUUUCUGUUUUAAUAAGUAACAUUUUUUUACAAGAUCCCCAAACUUUGGGUACAAAUCAGAUGUGGAGCCUGUAGCCCAUUUGUAUUCACUGAUUUAAUAUAGCUAUGCCUUGACUUUUGGGAAAUUACAUAUUUAAAAUAUGGCUCAAGGAAGGACAGAAAGUUCUCCAGGUUCCUUAUUUUGUCCUCUAGCUAAGAGCUCUUCUCAGCUCCUUUCUGUGGGUUGUACAUAUUUAAUCUUGACUGGGGCAAAGCCCAGAAGCCCAGGUGGAUUUGCCCUCUCAGUCUGAUAUAAGGGCUAAAGUAUUUUGCUAGUUACUUUUAAGUAGAGUAGGGUGAUUAAUUGAUUCCUUUGAUCACCAUCCUUACCUAAGAAUUCUUAUCUCCACUUUACAUAUGAGAAAGCUGAGAGUUUGAUAGAUUAAGUGACUCGGUUAUGCUCACACAGCAAAUAAGUAUCUGAGACAGAAUUCAAAACUUAAAUCUUUUAAUUACAGAGCUUUUACUGUAUCCACUCUGCCAUAGAGAAGACUAACCUCUGUACAUUCUCUAGAGGCUACCUAGCAGCCUAUCAGGAAAUGUCUCCAGGCAAGAAACAGGACCUGAAGGAACAAGUCUACCUAAAUUUUCUUUUUUCUUCUUUCUAAUGGCCCAUACAACCAGAAAUACUGAAACUGGCAACCCCUGUUUCUCUAGCUUUACCAGUCUUUGCCUGGCCUGUUGCCUUCCCAAGAUUAUUUCUUUAAAGCAACUGCCAAAUUUUUUUCAUAGUACAGAGUCCAAUCAUACAGUUAGCCAGGAGAAGCUGGACCAAAGGGUAGCACAAAGACUCAGAGGACAACAGAACAAGCUGGCAUUGACAUGAUGAAGGCAGAGCCUUCCCCCAGAGGCACCUUCCCAUCCAUCAUCUUUCCAGUGCACACCUGGACCAAGCCUGCAGUCUGCCUGUCACCACAGCACCAGGACUAGGGGAGCCAAUGAUGAUGAGAGGAGGGGAGGGAUUGCCAGAGGGUCCUACUGGUGGGCCCUUCCCUUUCAGAUUCCUGCAUGUACCAGCAUCAUCACCACUCCCCUCAGGGCAUGGUCUCAUCUCUACAACCAGGAAUUUCCCAAGAGGUUUAAAAAGAAAGAAAGAAAAAAGCACUAAUCCUGUGUCAGUGACCUGAUGAGUUUCUUUCUGACUUGCUGCCAAAAGAUGGGUGAUUUCCCCGGGGGGGGGGGGGGGGGGGGGGGAAGGGGGGUCUUCACUGUUUUCCCACAUGACCCUUGACCUUUUAAAAAAUACCAGCAAGUUUUCUUCUAUCACAGAAAGAAAACUUCAGACCCGUGCUCAGUUUUGUAGACACCCAAACCCAGGCCACAUGCUAAAAAUAGACUCUUUCCUCUCAUGAUUGGGUUUCUGCUACAUUUGACAUUGCAUGCUCUGUAACCUGGGAAAGAAAGCUCAACUGCUGCUAUAGCCCCAUACAGUCCUUUCCUAUACCAGGAAUCACGGGCAAGUUUACUGUAGGCCAGGGAGGGUGUAGAUGAGAGCCACGUGUGUCUGUCUGCUUUUCCCUAGAGGCCAUUUGGUGAAGCCAUCUUCUGCCUUUCUUUGUGCUUAGAUAGUUCUUGGCAUACAUGAUAAUCAGUCCCGAUUCUUGGUGAUUUUCUUUUUCCCCCUCCUUUUUGGUCUCCAGUGUGUUAUUUUUAGAAGGGGAGCUGCUAUAAAUAUUUAUAAAGGGCAGUGGCUGGAAUGAAGCACCAGACUCCACAGCUGGCUCCCUGCAUUCUCUCUGCCUCGGCCGACCUCCAGCCUCCGCCUGAACAGAGCCAAGGAAGGCCUGUGAGCGGGGCCCAGGGGCUACAGACGAUUUCCUAUGGAAACAAGUAGGAUCUGUCAGGCAGGAACAGAGCUACUUAGGACAACAGAUUGUUUACAUCUCCUUUAACUCUGUCCUCUCUCCUUUUCCAUGACCCUUAAAGGAAUCUAGGGGUGGAAAUCAUAGUCAACAGACACUUUAAGGCCGAGUCCUCAAGCAUAUCUCUGCAGAUUAGAUACAAGAGGGAAAGGGCUGCAAAAAAGAGCUACAUUAGCUAUUAAGGACCAAGAAGGAAAAUGGGAGAUGAGAGGGAGAGCUGCUUUCACAGGGCUUUGGGGGCUCUUGAAAUGCUAAGUCAGGCAGCACGUGCUCAGGAGAGCAUCAGCUCCAGAAGAGCCCGAUCCAGGUGAGAGAGAGCCCGACGGCUCUGGAGCUGGGAUGUCAGACCUCCAGGGCUCGUCUCUGAGGCUCCCCUGAAGGAAGCUGCCCCUCUUCCUCUUCAAACCAGGUUUAGGAAAGACAGUAAACUGACAGACAGAAGCUUUGAAGGGGAUAACUUUCUUGUCUACCUCAAAGGGUUAUUGACUGGAUCAAGUGAGUUCAUGGAAAAAUACUUGGCAGUAUAUGUUAUAUGACUGUUAGGUAUUGUCACAUUGUGGCAUCUCUUCAGAGGAGCCCAGAGAAUAUUCUUAUCCCAGUUCUUAUGGAGAUUGAAAGCAUAAGUCUCCUUACUAAUGGCUUUAGGAUCAUGUAAAUACCUGCCAGGAGCUGAGUAGCAUUGACUUUGGCAAAAUCACACACUUUCAGCCUUAGAGGAUUUGCUUAAAGAGUAGGGACCCUAGCCCUAGGGGUACCUCUUAGAAUUGAUUAAUUCUAAGACAGAAGAGCACUAAGAGCUAGGCAAUUGAGGUUAAGUGACCUGCCCAGGGUCACAUAGCUAGGAAGAAUCUGAGGCUGGAUUUCAACUCUUCCCCAAUAAUGUUUUGACCACUAAACACUCAUUUCACAGUAUCUCAGUGUCAGAAGAAAUGUUAAAUGUCAUCCAAGCCGAUCUAUCCUGAAGAUCCGAUCCCUUCCAUCCAUCUUCUGCUUAAAGACCUCCAUUAAAAGAACCCACAACCACCCAUUCUGUUCUUGGAGAGCUCCCUUUAAUCAAAGGUUUUUCCUCUGAUAAUAAGAGCUCACAUUAACAUAGCACUUUAAGGGUUACAAAUAGCUUUAAUAUCAUUUGAUUUGAUCCUUACACCAAGCCUAGAUCUGCCUCUGCAGCUUUUAACAGUUGCUCGUGCAUCUGUCAUCUGGCACCAAGAAGAACAAGAUCAGCAUCUCUUCUGUAUGACAGCUCUUCAGUUGUGCCCCCCUUUGCUACCAAGCCUUCUCUUCGGGCUAGUCAUCCUUAGUUCCUUCCACUGAUUCCUAUAUGACAUGAUCUCCAGGCUCCAAAAGAGAGGUUGUGAUUUGCCCAAAGUCACACAAGCAGUGAACUAGCAGAGCUAAGAGUCAAACCCAGGUUCUCCGGCUUUUUCUACUGUACCAUAUUCUCCUCAUUUCCUUUAUGCCAUGGUAGACUCCAAUAAAUCAUCCUCCUUCUCUAUGGAGAACUUUUU